GGGCAUGGCGGACCGGAAGUGCUAACAAGAUCGUGAAAGUACACAUUUAAGGAGUCGGUACAGACGCUAAAAUUUCCCGCCCCCCUCGGUUCUUCGGCAUAUAAAAUCGAUCGCUGAAAGAGGAGCGGAUUAGUAAUAUUGCAGACAAGAUUUUAACAUCUUGAAAACCGCUAUGUUAAAUAUGUCACGCUAAUUUUCCAGCUGAUCUGGGAAAGAGAGGUCAUUUUGUUUAAACUUGAUACACCGUCCAUUUAAAGAUAUCGCUUUCCGUCUGCUUAACUUAUUCGAUAAACCAACAGCCCAUGGUGGAAAAAGCCGUUAUCACUGAUAACAAGCGCAAGAAAAUUUCGGAUUGCUUUAGAAGUGAUUGGUGAAGCCUUGUGAUAGUGCCUUGGGAAAUCAGACCAUGAAGUUAGCAAGAAGUCUAAACAAAGUUCGAAUUUCUGUCUGGCACGAGACAGACAGCUCACGGUGAAUAUUUCAUAACAAACUUUCAUGGAUGGCUGGUGUUCCAAAGGAAACAAUUUUAUGAUGGGCACGAAGCCACAUUGCUAAGGAAGAUGAUAGAAAAUGAUUCCUGUUGCGGCAAUCUUCACUCCCACCCGCUACUCAAUAUCUUCUUGGCCCUUGAAAGAAGAGCGCUAAAUAAGAGGUACUUAAACUGAUAACCAUAACCUAUCUAGUGGACUGUGUUAUGUUCAAGUCGCUUACGCUUAAGGCCCCCAGGAGUUAUAAAUUAUUUGCAUAAUUGUGUAAUUCGGGCACGUACUUUGAAGGUCUCUUUCCUUAUCUGGGAAAAGAUUACACCAGAUGGAGACCUUUGCGUGUGGAAACAUUCACAAGAGCUUGUUUGUGGUUUAAGGCCAAGUAAGAAAAUAUUUAAUUUUAAACUAGAUAUUGGCGCGCGCGCCAGGGGCUGUUCCAAGUACGCUUGGUGAAUAGAUUUGCUAUUUUUGUUUCAAAACACUAUAGCUUCAUGUUCAACAUUCGAGGAAGUUGAAAUCAAAUAAAAAAAAAUUUCCUCCAAGAACACGGAAAAUUUACACCCAAGAUCACUGGCACUUUUGUCCCCGCCUCAAAUUAUUUGCCAAGCCACUCCUCCCCUCUCCGUCCCUCUCCUCCCUCCCUCUCCCCUACCCUCCUAUGAAGAAAAAGAAAACUCCAGUUUGGUUCCAGUCAAUAGAACUGUUCUACAUACAUUAAAGGAGCUAGGAAGUAAGACUUGGUUGUAUUGAAGUGUGGCGACCUUGCAGUUUCUGAGUUAUUCCCUUCGUCAAGAAGGUUACAUCUACUUUGGAAUCCACAUUUGUUAACACAAAAUAUUUUUCUCUCUUACAAGCAUCGGUUGAAAUACGAUCUCUCGAAGAGCUCUUACGUAAAAAAUUACUCUGGCCUGGGAAAAACUGUCGUUUAUACGACGAUCAAGCCGUUGGUUGCACAACACAGUGUUUCCUAAUGAAAUAGGAGAGAUUUUGACCGUGUGAAAUGAGAAGCCACGAGUUCUAAAGCAUUAAAAAAUUCCAAAAAUUA